CCUAGGGGUGGCAGCAGUGAGGAAUAUUGGUCAAUGGACGAGAGUCUGAACCAGCCAAGUAGCGUGAAAGAUGACUGCCCUAUGGGUUGUAAACUUCUUUUAUAGGGGAAUAAAAUGUUCCACGUGUGGGAUUUUGUAUGUACCAUAUGAAUAAGGAUCGGCUAACGCCGUGCCAGCAGCCGCUGUAAUACGGAGGAUCCGAGCGUUAUCCGGAUUUAUUGGGUUUAAAGGGAGCGUAGGUGGCUUGUUAAGUCAGUUGUGAAAGUUUGCGGCUCAACCGUAAAAUUGCAGUUGAAACUGGCAGUCUUGCUUAUAGUAGCGGUCGGCGGACUUCGUGGUGUAGCGGU
rnacentral:rRNA from 1 species